rnacentral:tRNA from 1 species
UCUGAAUUGGUGUAAUGGCUAACAUUCAACGUUCUCGGGUGUCUGAAACGUCGAGCCCGGGGUUCGAUUCCCUGAUUCGGAG